UACGUAGGGUGCAAGCGUUGUCCGGAAUUAUUGGGCGUAAAGAGCGUGUAGGCGGCUAGAUAGGUCCGUUGUGAAAACUCGAGGCUCAACCUCGAGACGUCGAUGGAAACCAUCUGGCUAGAGUCCGGAAGAGGAGAGUGGAAUUCCUGGUGUAGCGGUGAAAUGCGCAGAUAUCAGGAGGAACACCGGUGGCGAAGGCGGCUCUCUGGACCACAACUGACGCUGAGGCGCGAAAGCUAGGGGAGCAAACAGG
rnacentral:rRNA from 1 species